CCCCGACUUUUGGGAGGGGCGCAUUUAUUAGAUAAAAGGCUGACGUGGGCUCUGCUCGCUGAUCCGAUGAUUCAUGAUAACUCGACGGAUCGCAUGGCCUUUGUGCCGGCGACGGCUCAUUCAAAUUUCUGCCCUAUCAACUUUCGAUGGUAGGAUAGGGGCCUACCAUGGUGGUGACGGGUGACGGAGAAUUAGGGUUCGAUUCCGGAGAGGGAGCCUGAGAAACG
rnacentral:ncRNA from 1 species